AACGAACGCUGGCGGCAUGCCUAACACAUGCAAGUCGAACGAGAUCCUUCGGGGUCUAGUGGCGCACGGGUGCGUAACGCGUGGGAAUCUGCCCUUAGGUUCGGAAUAACAGUUAGAAAUGACUGCUAAUACCGGAUGAUGACGUUAAGUCCAAAGAUUUAUCGCCUGAGGAUGAGCCCGCGUAGGAUUAGCUAGUUGGUGUGGUAAAGGCGCACCAAGGCGACGAUCCUUAGCUGGUCUGAGAGGAUGAUCAGCCACACUGGGACUGAGACACGGCCCAAACUCCUACGGGAGGCAGCAGUGGGGAAUAUUGGACAAUGGGCGCAAGCCUGAUCCAGCAAUGCCGCGUGAGUGAUGAAGGCCUUAGGGUUGUAAAGCUCUUUUACCCGGGAUGAUAAUGACAGUACCGGGAGAAUAAACCCCGGCUAACUCCGU
rnacentral:rRNA from 1 species